AUGGCUCAGGACGAACGCUGGCGGCGUGCCUAAUACAUGCAAGUCGAACGAACUCUGGUAUUGAUUGGUGCUUGCAUCAUGAUUUACAUUUGAGUGAGUGGCGAACUGGUGAGUAACACGUGGGAAACCUGCCCAGAAGCGGGGGAUAACACCUGGAAACAGAUGCUAAUACCGCAUAACAACUUGGACCGCAUGGUCCGAGUUUGAAAGAUGGCUUCGGCUAUCACUUUUGGAUGGUCCCGCGGCGUAUUAGCUAGAUGGUGGGGUAACGGCUCACCAUGGCAAUGAUACGUAGCCGACCUGAGAGGGUAAUCGGCCACAUUGGGACUGAGACACGGCCCAAACUCCUACGGGAGGCAGCAGUAGGGAAUCUUCCACAAUGGACGAAAGUCUGAUGGAGCAACGCCGCGUGAGUGAAGAAGGGUUUCGGCUCGUAAAACUCUGUUGUUAAAGAAGAACAUAUCUGAGAGUAACUGUUCAGGUAUUGACGGUAUUUAACCAGAAAGCCACGGCUAACUACGUGCCAGCAGCCGCGGUAAUACGUAGGUGGCAAGCGUUGUCCGGAUUUAUUGGGCGUAAAGCGAGCGCAGGCGGUUUUUUAAGUCUGAUGUGAAAGCCUUCGGCUCAACCGAAGAAGUGCAUCGGAAACUGGGAAACUUGAGUGCAGAAGAGGACAGUGGAACUCCAUGUGUAGCGGUGAAAUGCGUAGAUAUAUGGAAGAACACCAGUGGCGAAGGCGGCUGUCUGGUCUGUAACUGACGCUGAGGCUCGAAAGUAUGGGUAGCAAACAGGAUUAGAUACCCUGGUAGUCCAUACCGUAAACGAUGAAUGCUAAGUGUUGGAGGGUUUCCGCCCUUCAGUGCUGCAGCUAACGCAUUAAGCAUUCCGCCUGGGGAGUACGGCCGCAAGGCUGAAACUCAAAGGAAUUGACGGGGGCCCGCACAAGCGGUGGAGCAUGUGGUUUAAUUCGAAGCUACGCGAAGAACCUUACCAGGUCUUGACAUACUAUGCAAAUCUAAGAGAUUAGACGUUCCCUUCGGGGACAUGGAUACAGGUGGUGCAUGGUUGUCGUCAGCUCGUGUCGUGAGAUGUUGGGUUAAGUCCCGCAACGAGCGCAACCCUUAUUAUCAGUUGCCAGCAUUAAGUUGGGCACUCUGGUGAGACUGCCGGUGACAAACCGGAGGAAGGUGGGGAUGACGUCAAAUCAUCAUGCCCCUUAUGACCUGGGCUACACACGUGCUACAAUGGAUGGUACAACGAGUUGCGAACUCGCGAGAGUAAGCUAAUCUCUUAAAGCCAUUCUCAGUUCGGAUUGUAGGCUGCAACUCGCCUACAUGAAGUCGGAAUCGCUAGUAAUCGCGGAUCAGCAUGCCGCG
rnacentral:rRNA from 2 species